AAAACUGGAAAGACAGCAGAUGCUCUGGCUGAAAUUUUAAAAAUCCACGAUGAACUGGAAAUCCAUGACAUCCACACCAAGCGCAUUACUGUUCUCCACGCCCUUCCAGUGUAUCUGCACGAGGACGUUUCUGGAUUUUUCAGAACCUGCACAGACGAGUCUGAUGAGCUGGAGCUUGAUGGCGUUGCAGUGGCCCUCCUUACGGUCAUCAGUGACAAUGACACACGUCCAGUUCACCACCACCCUGUGAGAAUCUCUGUAAUCAUUGAAAGUGAUGCCGUGGUCAGCCUCCCCAGACUUAGCGAUGCCUUCCUGGUAAUCUUUGGACUGAUAUAUGCACUACACCUCAGCUACCCCAAAGCACUGACCAACACUUUUGAAUUCACUGAAAAGAUUUUACUUGGUCUAGAAAGUGGUAAACUGUCACCCAGGUUGCAGACCCUCAAGAAUGACUUGUUGAUGUAAGUGACUGAUGGAGGAGGUGGAGAGGGAGGUGACUGA